GAUCUACUCCCUCCGUUCAGAAUUACUUGUCGCAGAAAUGGAUGUAUCUAGAUGUAUUUUAGUUCUAGAUACAUCCAUAUCCGAGACAAAUAAUUUCGAACGGAGGGAGUAUAAG
rnacentral:pre_miRNA from 1 species